rnacentral:snoRNA from 1 species
GGGCCCCUGGAGCUUCCCACAGGCUUUACACAACUGUGUAGGAAGAGGCGUCACAGUCUUUGGCCCCAUAUACUUGGCAGCCCUUUGUCUGGUCUGUACUGUGAAUGGAGGGACAUGA